UACGUAGGGGGCAAGCGUUGUCCGGAUUUAUUGGGCGUAAAGAGCGUGUAGGCGGCUUUACAGGUCCGUUGUGAAAACUCGAGGCUCAACCUCGAGACGCCGGUGGAAACCGUAAGGCUAGAGUCCGGAAGAGGAGAGUGGAAUUCCUGGUGUAGCGGUGAAAUGCGCAGAUAUCAGGAAGAACACCCGUGGCGAAGGCGGCUCUCUGGGACGGUACUGACGCUGAGGUGCGAAAGCGUGGGGAGCAAACAGG
rnacentral:rRNA from 1 species